CCUACGGGGUGCAGCAGUGGGGAAUAUUGCACAAUGGGGGAAACCCUGAUGCAGCGACGCCGCGUGAGUGAAGAAGUAAUUCGUUACGUAAAGCUCUAUCAGCAGGGAAGAAACACUGACCUUACGGUCAGCAGACGGUACCUGAGUAAGAAGCCACGGCUAACUACGUGCCAGCAGCCGCGGUACUACGUAGGGGGCAAGCGUUAUCCGGAUUUACUGGGUGUAAAGGGAGCGUCGACGGUGCGCGAAGUCUGGAGUGAAAUGCCGCAGCUUAACUGCGGAACUGCUUUGGAAACUGGCGAACUAGAGUGCGGGAGGGGUGAGCAGAAUUCCUAGUGUAGCGGUGAAAUGCGUAGAUAUUAGGAGGAACACCGGUGGCGAAGGCGGCUUACUGGACCGUAACUGACGUUGAGGCUCGAAAGCGUGGGGAGCAAACAGGAUUAGAUACCCUGGUAGUC
rnacentral:rRNA from 1 species